rnacentral:rRNA from 1 species
GACGAACGCUGGCGGCGUGCUUAACACAUGCAAGUCGAACGGAAAGGCCCUGCUUUUGUGGGGUGCUCGAGUGGCGAACGGGUGAGUAACACGUGAGUAACCUGCCCUUGACUUUGGGAUAACUUCAGGAAACUGGGGCUAAUACCGGAUAGGAGCUCCUGCUGCAUGGUGGGGGUUGGAAAGUUUCGGCGGUUGGGGAUGGACUCGCGGCUUAUCAGCGUGUUGGUGGGGUAGUGGCUUACCAAGGCUUUGACGGGUAGCCGGCCUGAGAGGGUGACCGGCCACAAUGGGACUGAGAUACGGCCCAGACUCCUACGGGAGGCAGCAGUGGGGAAUAUUGCACAAUGGGCGGAAGCCUGAUGCAGCAACGCCGCGUGCGGGAUGACGGCCUUCGGGUUGUAAACCGCUUUCGCCUGGGACGAAGCGUGAGUGACGGUAAUUGGUAAAGAAGCACCGGCUAACUACGUG